AGAGUUUGAUCAUGGCUCAGAACGAACGCUGGCGGCAGGCUUAACACAUGCAAGUCGAGCGAGAACCAGGCCUUCGGGCCUGGGGACAGCGGCGAACGGGUGAGUAACACGUGGGUAAUCUGCCCUCGGCACUGGGAUAGCCCGGGGAAACCCGGAUUAAUACCGGAUGGCCUCUCGAGCUUUCGGGCUCGUGAGAAAAGGUAGCUUCGGCCUCCGGCCGAGGAGGAGCCCGCGGCGGAUUAGCUUGUUGGUGGGGUAAUGGCUCACCAAGGCGACGAUCCGUAGCUGGUCUGAGAGGACGAUCAGCCACACUGGGACUGAGACACGGCCCAGACUCCUACGGGAGGCAGCAGUGGGGAAUUGUUCGCAAUGGGCGCAAGCCUGACGACGCAACGCCGCGUGGAGGACGAAGACCUUCGGGUCGUAAACUCCUUUCGAUCGAGACGAACGGCCUCUGGGUGAACAACUCGGAGGAGUGACGGUACCGAGAGAAGAAGCCCCGGCUAACUCCGUGCCAGCAGCGGCGGUAAUAC
rnacentral:rRNA from 1 species